rnacentral:rRNA from 1 species
ACGCUAGCGGCAGGCUUAACACAUGCAAGUCGAGGGGUAACGGGGAAGCUUGCUUCCGCCGACGACCGGCGCACGGGUGCGUAACGCGUAUACAAUCUACCUUGUACUGGGGUAUAGCCUUUAGAAAUGAAGAUUAAUCCCCCAUAGUCUCUUAGAGUGGCAUCACUUCUAGAGUAAAGGUUACGGUAUAAGAUGAGUAUGCGUUCUAUUAGUUUGUUGGUGUGGUAACGGCACACCAAGACUACGAUAGAUAGGGGCCCUGAGAGGGGGAUCCCCCACACUGGUACUGAGACACGGACCAGACUCCUACGGGAGGCAGCAGUGAGGAAUAUUGGACAAUGGAGGCAACUCUGAUCCAGCCAUGCCGCGUGCAGGAAGACUGCCCUAUGGGUUGUAAACUGCUUUUAUACAGGAAGAAACACCUCUACGUGUAGAGGCUUGACGGUACUGUAAGAAUAAGGAUC